GAUGAACGCUGGCGGCGUGCCUAAUACAUGCAAGUCGAGCGAACAGAUGAGGAGCUUGCUCCUCUGACGUUAGCGGCGGACGGGUGAGUAACACGUGGAUAACCUACCUAUAAGACUGGGAUAACUUCGGGAAACCGGAGCUAAUACCGGAUAAUAUAUUGAACCGCAUGGUUCAAUAGUCAAAGACGGUUUUGCUGUCACUUAUAGAUGGAUCCGCGCCGCAUUAGCUAGUUGGUAAGGUAACGGCUUACCAAGGCAACGAUGCGUAGCCGACCUGAGAGGGUGAUCGGCCACACUGGAACUGAGACGCGGUCCAGACUCCUACGGGAGGCAGCAGUAGGGAAUCUUCCGCAAUGGGCGAAAGCCUGACGGAGCAACGCCGCGUGAGUGAUGAAGGUCUUCGGAUCGUAAAACUCUGUUAUUAGGGAAGAACAAAUGUGUAAGUAACUAUGCACGUCUUGACGGUACCUAAUCAGAAAGCCACGGCUAACUACGUG
rnacentral:rRNA from 1 species